UACGUAGGUCGCAAGCGUUAUCCGGAAUUAUUGGGCGUAAAGAGCUCGUAGGCGGUUUGUCGCGUCUGCCGUGAAAGUCCGGGGCUCAACUCCGGAUCUGCGGUGGGUACGGGCAGACUAGAGUGCGGUAGGGGAGACUGGAAUUCCUGGUGUAGCGGUGAAAUGCGCAGAUAUCAGGAGGAACACCGGUGGCGAAGGCGGGUAUCUGGGCCGUAACUGACGCUGAGGAGCGAAAGCAUGGGGAGCGAACAGG
rnacentral:rRNA from 1 species